GUCGAGGGGCAGCAUGGUCUUAGCUUGCUAAGGCUGAUGGCGACCGGCGCACGGGUGAGUAACACGUAUCCAACCUGCCGUCUACUCUUGGCCAGCCUUCUGAAAGGAAGAUUAAUCCAGGAUGGGAUCAUGAGUUCACAUGUCCGCAUGAUUAAAGGUAUUUUCCGGUAGACGAUGGGGAUGCGUUCCAUUAGAUAGUAGGCGGGGUAACGGCCCACCUAGUCAACGAUGGAUAGGGGUUCUGAGAGGAAGGUCCCCCACAUUGGAACUGAGACACGGUCCAAACUCCUACGGGAGGCAGCAGUGAGGAAUAUUGGUCAAUGGGCGAUGGCCUGAACCAGCCAAGUAGCGUGAAGGAUGACUGCCCUAUGGGUUGUAAACUUCUUUUAUAAAGGAAUAAAGUCGGGUAUGCAUACCCGUUUGCAUGUACUUUAUGAAUAAGGAUCGGCUAACUCCGUGCCAGCAGCCGCGGUAAUACGGAGGAUCCGAGCGUUAUCCGGAUUUAUUGGGUUUAAAGGGAGCGUAGAUGGAUGUUUAAGUCAGUUGUGAAAGUUUGCGGCUCAACCGUAAAAUUGCAGUUGAUACUGGAUGUCUUGAGUGCAGUUGAGGCAGGCGGAAUUCGUGGUGUAGCGGUGAAAUGCUUAGAUAUCACGAAGAACUCCGAUUGCGAAGGCAGCCUGCUAA
rnacentral:rRNA from 1 species